GCUUACCAGCAUGCAACUGACACUGAGGCACGAAAGCGUGGGUAUCAAACAGGAUUAGAUACCCUGGUAGUCCACGCAGUAAACGAUGAAUACUAGCUGUUGGCGAUAUAUGGUCAGCGGUACAGCGAAAGUGUUAAGUAUUCCACCUGGGGAGUACGCCGGCAACGGUGAAACUCAAAGGAAUUGACGGGGGCCCGCACAAGCGGAGGAACAUGUGGUUUAAUUCGAUGAUACGCGAGGAACCUUACCCGGGCUUGAAAGUUAGUGACGGACUGUGAAAGCGGUCUUCCCUUCGGGGCACGAAACUAGGUGCUGCAUGGUUGUCGUCAGCUCGUGCCGUGAGGUGUCGGCUUAAGUGCCAUAACGAGCGCAACCCUUGCCGUUAGUUGCCAGCGGGUAAUGCCGGGAACUCUAGCGGGACUGCUACUGUAAGGUAGAGGAAGGUGGGGAUGACGUCAAAUCAGCACGGCCCUUACGUCCGGGGCGACACACGUGUUACAAUGGCAGGUACAGAGGGUUGCUACCCCGCGAGGGGAUGCUAAUCUCAUAAAACCUGUCUCAGUUCGGAUCGGAGUCUGCAACUCGACUCCGUGAAGCUGGA
rnacentral:rRNA from 1 species